rnacentral:rRNA from 1 species
GAUGAAUGCUGGCGGCGUGCCUAAUACAUGCAAGUCGAGCGAACAGACGAGGAGCUUGCUCCUCUGACGUUAGCGGCGGACGGGUGAGUAACACGUGGAUAACCUACCUAUAAGACUGGGAUAACUUCGGGAAACCGGAGCUAAUACCGGAUAAUAUAUUGAACCGCAUGGUUCAAUAGUGAAAGACGGUUUUGCUGUCACUUAUAGAUGGAUCCGCGCCGCAUUAGCUAGUUGGUAAGGUAACGGCUUACCAAGGCAACGAUGCGUAGCCGACCUGAGAGGGUGAUCGGCCACACUGGAACUGAGACACGGUCCAGACUCCUACGGGAGGCAGCAGUAGGGAAUCUUCCGCAAUGGGCGAAAGCUUGACGGAGCAACGCCGCGUGAGUGAUGAAGGUCUUCGGAUCGUAAAACUCUGUUAUUAGGGAAGAACAAAUGUGUAAGUAACUAUGCACGUCUUGACGGUACCUAAUCAGAAAGCCACGGUUAACUACGUG